CGAAAGGGUUAAACGCACCACAGAAGAGGCAUAUUUAAAUAUUACUAGUCGACGGUGGAGGACACACGGAACGCGCGAUCAAAACUGCACUGAAACCCACUCGCCUUAUCAAUCGAUUUUUAAUCAAUAAGAUGUCAGCGAUCGUCUAUGGUUUAUUCACGUCAAUUGUGAUGUCACAUAUCCACAUACGAAAAAAAAAUAUUUUAGUUGAGAUGAUCUUAGAAGUUAGUGGCCAUUCAUUUACGUCAUCGUGAGGAAAACCAAACGCUCAGAGCUAGCAUUGUUCAUGCAAUGUGUGUCAAUAGUAGCCUCAUCGUCCUGCUGAUAGCUGCAUGCUGAACUGAAAUAUUUUUACAGAUUUUCAUACUGCUUACAACGGACAAUUGCAACAAGCAAUCUAGAAUUUCAACAUAGUAUAAAAGUAACACGAAUAAAAUAAUAAUUGUUUCUUCUUCUUCUUCUUAGGCUUAUAGCGGUCCAUUGAGAACCAUCGCCGCUUCUAAAAUGCCUUAAGCAAAAUAAUAAUAAUAAUUUUAAUAAUUGUUUAAAAUAAAUAUUUAUAAUUUUUG